rnacentral:rRNA from 1 species
UGGGGAAUAUUGCACAAUGGGCGCAAGCCUGAUGCAGCCAUGCCGCGUGUGUGAAGAAGGCCUUCGGGUUGUAAAGCACUUUCAGCGGGGAGGAAGGCGAUAAGGUUAAUAACCUUGUCGAUUGACGUUACCCGCAGAAGAAGCACCGGCUAACUCCGUUCCAGCAGCCGCGGUAAUACGGAGGGUGCAAGCGUUAAUCGGAAUUACUGGGCGUAAAGCGCACGCAGGCGGUCUGUCAAGUCGGAUGUGAAAUCCCCGGGCUUAACCUGGGAACUGCAUCGGAUACUGGCAAGCUUGAGUCUCGUAGAGGGGGUUAGAAUUCCAGGUGUAGCGGUGAAAUGCGUAGAGAUCUGGGGGAAUACCGGUGGCGAAGGCGGCCCCCUGGACGAAGACUGACGCUCAGGUGCGAAAGCGUGGGGAGCAAACAGG